rnacentral:rRNA from 1 species
UACAGAGGUCUCAAGCGUUGUUCGGAUUCAUUGGGCGUAAAGGGUGCGUAGGCGGCGCGGUAAGUCGGGUGUGAAAUCUUGGAGCUUAACUCCGAAACUGCAUUCGAUACUGCCGUGCUUGAGGACUGGAGAGGAGACUGGAAUUUACGGUGUAGCGGUGAAAUGCGUAGAUAUCGUAAGGAAGACCAGUGGCGAAGGCGACACGCUGGGCCGUACCUGACACUGAUGCGCGACAGCAUGGGGAGCAAACAGG